GUAUUUAGCUGCUGGAGAAGGUGAACUGGGGAGAGAACUGUGUUUGGUCAUCAACUUCGCAUAGCCCAAUGAGUAAUGCACCAACAUCAUAACAAGGUUUGAGGAUGGCACUUCUCACACAUAAGCAUGAAAACCCAAUCAUCACGCUUAGAAACUACGAAAGGAUCAGACUUCUGCCUCCUUCAUAAUCUUGUCUCAACUUGCCUUUAAUGUCUUUCCAUCUCACAUCUGACCUCCUAAUAUACAUCUGAGAAUGCCUCGUCUAUAAACUACAGACGGCUUAUUAAAAGUGGCAUCAACAAUGAAGACUCUAUUACAUCACAGAAAGGAAGUAUGAAAAUAGGAGGGCAAUGACUGUUUACUUUCUCUGCAAUUCUCUUGGUGUUCCCUUAAUAGUCCAGGGAUGGUUGUUCCCCUUCUAAUGGUCACCUGCUGAAGGGGCAGAAUAGAGAAAACUCAUCUUUUGUCUAAUACCAUGAAUGAGACAAACCUUCUCUGAGCCUUCCAGCAAACUUUCCUUGGUAUCUAUUAGACAGAGUGUGUUUCACACAGACCACACACCUAGACUGAAGAAGGAGACAUUCAGAAUUGGCCGAAGCUAAUGAGUAAGCAGCUUGUGGCUCUGGGCAGAUUCCUGCUU